GACAGAAUCAUAGUCAAUAAGCUAACAAAGAAGAGAGAAUGCUUAUCACAAAUAGUCAAUCUAAGACAAACAGUGAGAUUAAAGAUUUGCACUUACUCUUCAUUAAGCAUAUUAAAUGUAAAUUGCCUAAAUCCUCUAAAUGUGGAUUACAUAGAAAAAUAGCAAAAUUCAAAUAUAUGCCCUGUAAAUUAUACUUUCCCAAGCCCAACACAAUAUACCCAAACAUGCUCUUCCAUUUCCUGUAGCAUAUUCUAGCUAGAUAUUGCCAUACUUGGUUGGCAUUAAAUCUCUCUCCUCCCUUAGCAGGCCUAAGAUUUCCCCAUGGGGCUAUGCCAAGAAUUUUUUUGUUUUGUUUUAGUUUUUAUUUAUUUUUAUUAGUGCAUUUCAAUUCUACAGAAUAAUGGGUUUCAUUGUAGCAUACCUGUAAAUGCAAAUAACACACUUUGAUCAUAUCCAAGCCCCAUAACCCAUCCCUUCCUCCACUCCUCCUUUCCCGAUCCCCUUCCUUUUCUUUAAUAAUUUCCUCUUUACUUUCAUGUCAUUUCCCCCACCCCCUUGAUUCCACAUAUGAAGGAAAACAUUCAGUACUUCUCUUUAUGAAUCUGUUUUUUUAACAUUAUGAUCUCUAGUUCUAUCCAUUUUCCUCCAAACGGCAUGAUUUUGUUCUUUUUCAUGACUGAAUUAUACCCCCAUUGUUUUUAUUUAUUUUAUUUUUUGUUUUUAAUUUUUUUAUUUGUUCUAGUUAUACAUGACAGUAGAAUGCAUUUAUGCAUUUGAUAUACAUAGGUGAGAUGUAAUUUCUCAUUUUUCUGAGUAUACAUGUUGUAGAAUCACAUUGGUUAUGCAGUCGUGUAUAUACAUAGAGAAAUAAAGUAAUAAUGUCUGUUUCAUUCUACUAUCCUUCCUAUCCCCACAUCCCCUCCCCACCCUUCCCUUUACCUAAUCUAAGAUAACUGUGUUCUUCUCUAGUCCCCCGGCUAUUGUAAAUUAGCAUCCACAUAUUAGAGAAAACAUCCAGCCUUUAUUUUGUGGGGGAUUGGCUUAUUUCACUUAGCAUGAUAUUCUCCAACUCAUCUAUUUACCACAAAUACCAUAAUUUCAGUCUUCUUUAAAGCUGAGUAACAUUCUGUUGAAUAUAUACACCAAAUUUUCUUUAUCCAUU
rnacentral:lncRNA from 1 species